GCAAACUUGGUCAUUUAGAGGAAGUAAAAGUCGUAACAAGGUCUCCGUUGGUGAACCAGCGGAGGGAUCAUUAUAGAGUUUUAUAACUCCCAAACCCAUGUGAACCUUACCUCAGUUGCUUCGGCGAAUGGAGCUACCCUCAUAGGUGCCACCCGGAAAUGCCUACCCGGCACUCAAGGGCGCGCCGAGGGCAGUGCCCAGCGCCGGUGGCCCAUCAAACUCUGUUAGAAUAAGCAUAUCUGAACUAUAAACUUAAUAAGUUAAAACUUUCAACAACGGAUCUCUUGGUUCUGGCAUCGAUGAAGAACGCAGC
rnacentral:misc_RNA from 1 species